AUUUGAAUAAUCAUUCUGAUAUUGUCCUAAUAAGAAGCAGCAGAACUGAUCUGACAUUUUUUCUCAUUUUCAGACUGCAGGAAACUGAUAUUUCUGCUUUUUCAGAUUGGAAUUUUGUUCUGAAACAGAAGUUCCAAUAAAAAAGAAGCUCUUACUCCUGAAUAGGCUGGCUUCAUUUUUCCUUGGAAAAGACCCUGACUCUACCUCAAUAAAUUACCACUCUGUGUGAAGACAUACAUCCCAUCAGUUCCACAAAAAGGGGAAAAGGUCACCCAAACAAGACCCUCCACUUCAUCCUCAAGACACACAGAGGAGAAAAGGAGGAGGUUCUGUUAUCCCAGGGAAUGCAAUGCCAAAUCCCAGAGGGGCAGCUUUCCUUACAAGACACGUGACCAAUCACUGUCCUUACCCUUCCACUGUCACACAAAGCAAAUAAUGAGGUUUUGAGUAGUGCUAUCUAUUUCACAUGUAAAAUAAAUCACUGUU